AAAACUACUGUUGCUCGUGAUCCGAAGGAUUUGAACGAAUGGUCCAAAAAAGUGGCUAAUGUUUUUUUUAAUUUCCAAACAAAACAAAAAUAAUGAUUUAUAUUCAAUAAUAAUGCACAAAAUCUUAAAUUAUGCUUAAUUGAUAAAGAAAUCCCUGAAACGAAGUGCCACGUUGCUUAGCCGUAUAGAUUAUUUCAUUUCUAGUGUUAUAAAACAUUCAUAUUAAAUAUACGGAAAAACUCAAGUACCAACUUUGUAGCAAAUAUUAAUAAACACUCUAUUUAAUAUUCAUUAGACCAAGUUUUGAAUAUGCAACUGAGGUUUUUUGAUGAUUGUGGGAUAGGAUACGCUGAUAAAUUUGAAAGUUUGCAGCUAGAAGGUGCUAAAUUAGUUAUUUACAAGAACGUAAAGUCUGCAUGGAGAAGUUGGUUGGGAAACUCAACCUGACAGGAAAAGACAAAAUUACAAAUGUUUCAUU
rnacentral:lncRNA from 1 species